rnacentral:rRNA from 1 species
AAAUUACGCCUUCCAUGAAGCCGGAAUUGCUAGUAAUGGCAGGUCAGCAUACUGCCGUGAAUACGUUCCCGGGCCUUGUACACACCGCCCGUCACACCAUGAGAGUUGGGAAUACCCGAAGCCUGUGAGCUAACAUUAAGAGGCAGCAGUCGAAGGUAGAAUCAAUGAUUGGGGUGAAGUCGUAACAAGGUAGC